rnacentral:sRNA from 1 species
GGGGGCGUAAUGGUUUCGACGGGGACUCCGAGUCUCAAUAAGCGCGCGGUGGCGCAUAACCACCUUAAAAUGUGCAAAUUUUAAAAAUAAACGACAAUAAUAGUUUAGCUUUCGCGGCCUAAUUUAGGCUGCGCAUCCAAAGGUGAAGGACCACGAGCUCCUGCGGGUGUCAUUUUAGUGGUGAACGCCAUCGGCUAAGCUUUGCUCCGACGGUGUAUAAUGAAGCUACUGAAUCCGUCAGCUUGUUUAUCAGCGGUCGGAAGAGGGAACGUCAAACGAUAAACUAAGCGCGUAGAAAAUUGUGAGGAUGGGUUUUCGGACAGGGGUUCGACUCCCCUCGCCUCCACCA